UACGUAGGGGGCAAGCGUUGUCCGGAAUCAUUGGGCGUAAAGCGCGUGUAGGCGGCCCGAUAAGUCCGCUGUGAAAGUCCAGGGCUCAACCCUGGAAUGCCGGUGGAUACUGUCGGGCUCGAGUCCGGAAGAGGCGAGUGGAAUUCCUGGUGUAGCGGUGAAAUGCGCAGAUAUCAGGAGGAACACCGGUGGCGAAGGCGGCAUCCUGGACCGGCAUUGACGCUGAGGCGCGAAAGCUAGGGGAGCAAACGGG
rnacentral:rRNA from 1 species